ACAGGGAUUGCCUCAGUAACGGCGAGUGAAGCGGCAAAAGCUCAAAUUUGAAAUCCCCCGGGAAUUGUAAUUUGAAGGUGGCCUCAGUUAGUCCAAACAUUCUUAAGUCCAUUGGAAAAUGGCGCCAUGGAGGGUGAUAGCCCCGUAAAGAUGUCGUUUGUUCUAUUUUCUCUGGCCACCAAAGAGUCGAGUUGUUUGGGAAUGCAGCUCUAAGUGGGUGGUAAAUUCCAUCUAAAGCUAAAUAUUGGCGAGAGACCGAUAGCGAACAAGUACAGUGAUGGAAAGAUGAAAAGCACUUUGAAAAGAGAGUGAAAAAGUACGUGAAAUUGUUGAAAGGGAAGGGCUUGCAAGCAGACACAACCUCGUGUUGGGCCAGCAUCGGGGCGAGAGGAAGUAAAAACGAUUUGGAAAUGUAACUUUCGAGUAUUAUAGAC
rnacentral:rRNA from 1 species